GGGACCCGUUUUGUCACUUCCGCAGGAAGUGACAUACCCGGAAGUGAGGGAGGCGGAGCCAGGUAUGCUGGGACUGCGGUGAUGUGCAGUGGGAAGUCUCCUUGGCUAUGCUUUGGUGUUUUGGUCGGCGCUGACGUCAUCUCCAGGCACCAGGGCAAUCAUGACCGGAAGCAGGAGCUGGAGUGCUGGCGUGCUGUCCUGAUCGGUGGUGGGAAUGCUAUUUAUUACACAUCACCACCAAAACAUCAUUGUAUCUGAAGGAAAGGACUGGAAGAUCAUGAGCUUUGUGGAACAUGGCGACACGCUCGGUGGUGGCCUGCGGCUAAUAGUGUCAUGUACAAUUAUGUGAAUGGAAAAGCUGUGCCAGUCUAAGAGGAAACAAAUGGUGGCUUCUGAAAUGUUUUUCUAGUAAAUCCUAAAUUUCUAAUUUCUGGGUCAGAUUAUCAAUUUAAAUAUGCAACAGCUUUGAUUGGUUUGUAUAAUAUUUCUGUAUUCAUCAUUUUAGUGUUUGUUGAAAUUGCAGAUUUAAUAUAUGUGAUGCUCUCAUACAGUGCUAUUCCUCACAGCUCACAGGGAACA